GCUCGUUUCCGCACAGGAGUGGAAUGGGGAGGUGCAGAGGGCUGUAUUUCAUUUCUCCUGAGGGCUGGGCCAUACGUGUGGGACUAAACACUCCUAGCCCCCCUUUCCCCGCAGAGCGGGGCUGGUGCCCCUGGCAGGUUCGAGGGGAGAACUGCUCUUUCUGAUGCCCCAGAACCAGACUGUCCUAUGCAGUAUCAAUCUCUCCCCAUUAAGCUCCCGCUCUCACUGCUUCUCUCCCUUCUCCAGCCCCCCAACCCAUGUCCUGUGCGUCAUUCCUCUCUUCCCUCUGCCCUUCCUCCCCCAUGGCAGAUCCCAUCUGCCCCCACGUGGGCUUCAGUUCCCCUCACACCUGCCUCCUCUACGUGUGGGCUCAGCAAUGCUAGAGUGAUGCUUCCACUGAUGUGUCAUGGCUGAACUUCGGAGUGAAGCACCAUAUUGAGGGCCAUGGGGGAGCUCACCCCUCGCCGAGCUAUUGUUUCAGGCUCUCUGCAGACACAGGCAGAUGUCAUGAUCACCUUUGAAGGUCGUCUUCACCACCAGAAGGACUAGAUGCUCCGAUUCUGAAUAUGGGCCCGGGCCCCAUCACGGCACCAAGCAGGCGAGAUGCAGCCUGUGGGUGGCUUGACUGGCAGCCCAGCAGGGGACGAUGCUGGAGCUGCCUUCUGUCAGAGGAGCUGUUACACCUGGGUCCUCACCACUCCUGGGCCCUGAAGAUCCUGUCGCGCUUCCUGUAAGGAAGGCCAACACCACUUGCUUGGCUAACAAUACCUGUCCACCCACCACCUAUUGAGAAGCAGGUGGCAGCUUGGCAGGGUGAUGGCUCCCUCUUUUCUGAUGUACCCACCGGGAACGCGGGGCUGUAUAUAAGGAGGGGAAGCGCUGCCUGCCUGACACUUCACUCAGCAGCCUGGACAGCAAGCGCCAGGAAAGAGCAGAGCCAGCAAAGGCAAUUUCCAGAGAUGAACCUGAUGCUUCAAGUCACCUUCCUCGGUCUCCUGUCCCUGCUGGUGCAGGGUUGGGUUCAGAACUAAUCCCUGCAGAGUUAGAGAUGGAGCAUGCUGGACCUGCCGCGGAACAGA